GUUUUCAAAGGGCGCUAGGGGUCGCAGGAAAUCAGUGAAAAAGUGCAGGGGCACCAACACUGGAUACACACUGAUAUCACAGGUCGGGGCUGGCCCCUCUCCCAGGCUUUCACCCCGGAAGCGUCGGCCAGUGUGCAUCUGUGCCAGCCAGCCUAAUACUGCGGCAAGCAAGGGAACAUCAUCUUACACAAGAGGCGGUAAAACAAGAAAGAAAACCGAGGAAGGCACUGAGUCUAACUAUUACUGCCAGGAAGUCUCCUUACAAAUGACAGAAGAUUAUUUCGGCGACAAGAUAAAGUGUGUUCAAGGAGCGAGCCCUCUGAAGAGCAGCAGGCUGUAAGCGCCCCUCCACGCCUCCCUCCCACGUCCAAUGACGUCACAUGGGGGAUGGAACAGUCAACAAGGCCGAAGGGUCCCUGUCAGCACCCGCGCUGCGAGGGGAGUACAAAGCAGACAGCUCUGACUGUCGUCAGGAAAACCUACCUCAAAUGUUUAUCUCACAUUUUUGUUUAGCUUUCCGGGGAGCGUUUAGGAUCUAGACGCAGAACCUCGGAGCUCCUGACCGAUUAAGUUAAUGCAGUAAGAAAAAAGGCACUGGUCUCAGGGGACAAAGUAACCAAACCGAUUCUUUGAUGUACUG
rnacentral:lncRNA from 1 species